rnacentral:rRNA from 1 species
UACGUAGGGUGCAAGCGUUGUCCGGAAUUAUUGGGCGUAAAGAGCUCGUAGGCGGUUCGUCGCGUCGGCUGUGAAAACCCGGAGCUCAACUCCGGGCCUGCAGUCGAUACGGGCGGACUCGAGUUCGGCAGGGGAGACUGGAAUUCCUGGUGUAGCGGUGGAAUGCGUAGAGAUCGGGAGGAACACCAGUGGCGAAGGCGGCUUCCUGGACCGUGGCUGACGCUGAGGCGCGAAAGCGUGGGGAGCGAUCCGG